rnacentral:lncRNA from 1 species
UUAGUCUUUGGACCCCCUCCAGUGUGAGCAUUACUUGGGCAAUUACUUUCCCCGUAAUGUAGCAGAUGCAAGUUAACAGAUACUGAAACUACACAAGACCUUAGACAGAUAAACAUGUACCAGCGUGACUUUGAGCAGUCAGGACAAUAGAGAGGACUUUUAAUGCACAAAAGCAGAACAAAGGAUCAAAUCACACUAAUAAAUCAAAUCAGAACAAAAACGAAAGCCUCGAGUGUGUGUUCGAGGAAGCCCAGACGCAGAAGGAAUCCAGAGGAGUGAUGCGCUGAGCGGGGUCCCGGGCUUCCAUCUGUCAGAAUCACUCAUUCCAGAGCAGCAGAAAUCUACCAGCGGAGUUUCCUGUGACUUCCGGCCUCGGCGAGGCAGGUUCAGGCAGCCUCAGGCUCAGCCCAUGGGAGAGGCCUCCUCCCAAUCACAGACCCUUCCUGGUGCCAGAGCUUGGAAGAACUGCCGCAGGGUAGAAAAGGACCUCAGGGCAGCGCGGCUCGCAGAGCAGCCGGCCCGGUGCCAGGAGGAGGAGACGGCGCUACCAGGAAAAAUCCAAGAACCCUGGGAAAACCUGUAUCUCCUGACUAAAUCUGAGAGAGACUUCUGUGUGGAUGCCCAGUUUCCUUGUGCAGUCAGAAAAGCAAAAGGAAUUUUAAGGAAAGGGGUCAUGUUCUUUCUUAAUAAUCAGUCUCUUAGCCUAGAAGAGAAAAAGUUCCCCGAUGGCUUGUCAGAAACCGUUUGGUCCUGCCAACUCAUAAUGGGAUUUGUGAGGCAGUGAGUGUACUCACGUUUCUUCUCUGCAAACAGUUCUGCU